AGUCAUGCGGAUAUUAACGUUGUUUGCAGUUAAAAAGCUCGUAUGUUGGAUUUCUUGGAAGGGUGCCAAUGUCCGCUCUGUUGCGUGUGCAGCGGCGCCCUUCCAUCCUUCUGUUAACGUUUCUGAUAUUCAUUUAUUGGUCUCGGGCUCAGAUAUUUUACGCUUGAGAAAAUUAGAGUGUUCCAGGCAGGCUUGCGCCGGAAUACAUUAGCAUGGAAUAAUAGAAUAGGACUUUGGUCUCCUUUGUUGGUUUGAGGGACUGAAGUAAUGAUUAAUAGGGAUAGUUGGGGGCAUUAGUAUUUAAUUGUCAGAGGUGAAAUUCUCGGAUUUGUUAAAGACUAACUUAUGCGAAAGCAUUUGCCAAGGAUGUUUUCAUUAAUCAAGAACGAAAGUUAGGGGAUCAAAGACGAUCAGAUACCGUCCUAGUCUUAACCAUAAACUAUGCCGACUAGGGAUCGGAGGCGCGCCUUAUCCGCCUUCGGCACCUUAUGAGAAAUCAAGUCUUUGGGUUCUGCGGGGAGUAUGGUCCGCACGCUGACACUUAAAGGAAUGGCGGGAAGGGCCCCACACAGAAUGGAGCUUGCGGCUCCAUUUUGACUCAACCCGGGAAAAUUUACCAGUUCCAAACAUUUUGAGGAUUGACACAUUGGUACCCCUUUCCUGAUUCUACUGGCUGCCGGGCCCUUGGCCCCCUCUCUCUUCGCCGCUCGUCUUUGCUGGCUUCUUCCCUCUCACCCCCCAACCCUUAUUCUUCCAU
rnacentral:rRNA from 1 species